rnacentral:lncRNA from 11 species
AUGAUGAAGGAGCUCCAGGCAAAAGCAAGAGACAAGUCUGCAUGCAAAAUUCAUGUCAUCCAGGAGCCUUCAAAGUGUACCUUUGCAAAAAGGUAUUCCUGGAGUGAAUGUUUGAAUUAUCUCUGGGUAUGUGUUAAAUUCUUGAAGAAAUCAUUCUCAUCCAAAUGGGAUUUGUCAGACAAUGGCAACAAUUUCAAAGUCUUCACCAAGCUCCUUCUAAACAUAAACCAAGGUUGUUUCACCAAUUCUCCUCCACCUCUCUUUUGUAAAAGGACUGGAAUCUUGCAUCAUUGUGAGAUCAGAGAACUCUGACCAAACCUAUGCGGAUAUCUGUUGCAUGAGACUUGUAAUUGACUUUUUUAUAACAAGUCCAACUUUCAAUGAGAAAAUAUUGCAAAGCAUUUAUUGAAGGUAACAUGCUAACAACAUGCUAGCAGCUGUCCACUACACAAUUCUCCCCAUCUUUUCUCUGCAGUCUUCCACAGAGCCUGAA